rnacentral:tRNA from 13 species
GUCGGGAUAGCUCAGCUGGUAAAGCAAAGGACUGAAAAUC